GUGCGCCACGGCGACCUGCCCGAACCUGUACCCGGCCAGGAACGGCUGCACGUUCCGGAGGGACGCGGCGGCGCCGGCGGUGGAGUAGCGCACGUGCCCGAUGGCGGCGGGCCCGGGCAGCGACGCGAGCCUGGACGGGUCGCCGAAGACGUCGGCGACGAGCCCCAGCCCGGUCACGGACUUGAGCUUGCCGUCCCCCCCGGCGGCGACGAUCCCGGCGCCCUCCUCCCCGCGGUGCUGCAGCUUCUGCAGGCCCAGGUAGCAGAGCGAGGAGGCGUCCGGGUGGCCCACGACCCCCACCAGGCCGCACUCCUCGCGCGGGUGGUCGUCGGAUUCGUCGUCCGCCCCGUAGGAGAACGGGGUCACGCGGUCCGGCAGGAGCGCCGCCCCGGCUGGCGGCGAAAGGCGGCGGCGCAGAGCGAGAGGGGACGGAUUGGGGGCGUACCUGAGCCGCUGCUGGUGGUGGUGGGUGUGGCGCUUGGAGCCGGAUGUGGUGUGGUGGUGAUAGAGGAGGCGCGACGUGGACGGAGCGGUGGUGGUGGCGGCGGCCAUUCCCAUUCUUGGGCGAUUGGGGGAGGGGAUUGCUGGCGGCGGCGGCGGCGGCGAGGGCUUUGGGGGGAUGCCCCUCCGAGUGCGGGUCAAGGGGCGGGAUUUUAA
rnacentral:rRNA from 1 species